rnacentral:rRNA from 1 species
UAGGGAAUCUUCCACAGUGGGCGCAAGCCUGAUGGAGCAACACCGCGUGAGUGAAGAAGGGUUUCGGCUCGUAAAGCUCUGUUGUUAAAGAAGAACACGUAUGAGAGUAACUGUUCAUACGUUGGCGGUAUUUAACCAGAAAGUCACGGCUAACUACGUGCCAG